AUGAUAAUUUCAAGAAUGGGGAAAGGUCUCACAAAACGUAGGCAUCAUAUUCAAACCGGACCAGAAGAAAUCCUUUCAAACUUGUAUGAAGAUGAAGAAGAGUACAAGCCGCCACAUCUCCUUGGUCUCCUUCGAUUCUACAAAGCAAGCAACAAGAUGGCCACCAAAGCCAGCAAGAAAGCCAACAAGAAUGAUGUAUUUUCAACACUGAACCGUUUGAAAGCCCGGCUAAUUGGUGCGCAUAAAGAAAUGGAUGUACCAUCAUACAAUAACAUGUCCAUGGAAACACUUAGUCAAUUGUCAAUAUCUCCAGGAGCCACCGAGCUUGCAGAAAUUGGCAUCAAGGUGAAAGCCAUCAAGACGGGAAGUCCCACAGAAAUGGACAUCAGGAAAGGACCCCUCUUUGGCGAUCUUUCCUUCACGCCACUGGCGCUAAACGUAUCAAACGCAUGUUUGCUUGCAAACAUGGCGGCUUUUGAGGUAUGCACGGCAUCAUGGGAUCUAUGUGAUGUUCAAGAGACGGCCGUCUUCUUGUACCUCGCUCUCCUUGGCAUGCUCAUGGACCAGAAAGAGGAUGUGCGCGACCUACGAAGGAAGCAUCUUGUGCAAGGAGAACUCACGAACCAAGAGGUGUUUGACUUUUUCAAGAGCCUUACCAGGCACCUGCCGGUGGGCCUCUCCUUUCUCCUCGUCUUAACGAGCAUUGAGAAGUACCAGGCCAACAGGAGGAUCUGGGUCAAGGCGCACAAGUUCAUCUACAACAACUUCAAAACCAUUUCCGCGGUCCUCUCCGUGGUUGGUGUUCUGGUGGGCAUCUUCAAGACGCUCCUCUCUCUCAAGCAACACCAGUAA
rnacentral:rRNA from 1 species